rnacentral:tmRNA from 1 species
GGGGGCGACCGGUUUCGACGGGGAGUGCGGUGGCAUAGGUAGCGGGUCGAGGUGCUGUGGCCUCGUUAAACUGCAGCAAGCACUUUAAGUGCCAAUAAUAAUUACGCUUUAGCUGCUUAAUUAAGUAGCCGUCCAAACCGAGCUUAACCCGGGAGGUCGGGGCGGGCGUCAAAUAAACCGGGACGCUCAUCAGCCAAUUCGCGGAGGCUGAUGCUAAGAUCAUCGCGAUAGCCGAGUUUCAGUUCGUCCGUAGACGGUAACAAGGCGAAAUCUAAAUUGCGGUCUGCACCCGGAGAAGCCUUUGUGGCUGCCUUUUCGGACGGGGGUUCGACUCCCCCCGCCUCCACCA